UACCCACUUUUGCCUAUCUCUCGCUCUCUCUCUCUGUCCACAUUGGCCCGGGCACCCUCUCUCCCCAAAACUAGCCCGAGCUCCUUUUCUCUCGGUUUCUCUCCCCAAAACCGGGCCCAAGCUCCCUCUCUCUCGAUCUCUCUCCUCCAAACCAGGCCCGAGCUCCCUCUCUCUCGCUCUCUCUCCCGAAGCAGGCCUGAGCUUUUCCCUCUCUCUCGAUCUCUCUACCCGAAUCCAAGGUCCGAUCUCUCACCCUAUCUCUCGCUCUAUCUCUAUGAAGGACCCAUGAUCUCUCACUAACUUUGUGAACUAUCUCGGGCUAUUGAUUUCUCAGCCCGGCCCAAGCUCCCAAAGCCCGAGCUCGAUUUGUAGCUCGAUCUCUUAGCCCCAAAUCCACCCUAUCAAAGGAUGUCAAACGCCUUUGAAGGUGAGAAUCAAGUAUUCGUCUAUGUAUUUGAUGGGAGUGAACGUAGGGGUUGAAGUACUUCAUAGAAUACGCAGUCGAAGAGGUCAGACCCCCCAUAGCUAUUUUUUUUACAGUGUUGGAUCUAUGAGAAUUUUCCAGCUUUACAUACUAAGCCUACAACUAUCAUCAUAGAAAUGCCUAGAGCAUGUAAGUGGAAGAAACAACCACACAGCAAAGACCCAUUACCAACGCUUGAUGACAUCUAAAUUGACAUGGUUAGUGAAUUGCUUAUGUGAUUAUGUAAUUGUAGGUAAUCUAUCAAAUGCAAAUACAAACAUGGUUGGUAGUUUGCUUGUGUAUUUAUAUAAUUGUAGGUAAAUAUAUCUAAGGCAAAUACAAAUAAGUGGUUUUUGUAUUAUGUUUUUGUUGUAGGUGACUUGGCAACCAUAUAAGGAGUACAACUCAUUAGAUACAUUCAGUAAAAAAAACACGUUGUGCCGAUCAUAUCUGAUAAGUUUCCACAUUGCAGAGUACUAUAUGUCUGAUUGUGUACUGCGGCAAUUUGGGAAGACACAAGUGAUUCUUGUUGGGCCACCCAAGUGGAAGGAAAAAAUCGGUUUACACCCCACAAGUUGGAUUAACGAGUUGAGUAGAGAGAUAAGCAACUGGAGGCAACGAUAACACAAUGUUGUCAAGGCAGACGUGGAUAAAUAUGAUGGACUGCCUACAAAUAAAUAUAUGGCCUGGUAUAACAUGUUUACCCAUAGAUAUAGAAAUACACCCAUGUGUCCCCCAUCGCAGUCGUAAUCAAAUGUGCCCUCCUCAUAGGCCAUGAUGAUAGCAAUACUCCCAUGUGCCCCACCUCGCAGUCACAAUCAAAUGUGCCCCCCCUUUGUAGGCCAUGAUGAAGAGAGGAGAUUGUUAUAUUAUCUAAUUUAUGUAUUUUAGUUUUUAUCGACUUAGUAUGUAUUUAUUGUAAUUAUCUAUUUUGUUUUUUAUUGUGUACUUGCAGCGAUUAACUUGUAUAGGGAUACUAUAAGCUGCACUUCGUGGUGAAGUAUUAACAGGGGAAUCCAGACGUUAUGUACAUGAUGCAAAACACUCAUAUGGAGACAGAUGUCAAGGAAAUGGUAGAAGUGAGAGCGAGGAGAGAGAUAGUGGAGAUGAUGAAAGCGAGACCGAGGAGGGAGAUAGUGGACAUAAGGAAAGUGAGACUGAAGAAGGAGAUGGUGGAGAUGAAGAAAGAGAGAGUGAGACCGAUGAAGAAAAAGAGAGGAGAAUAAAGAACAGAAAAUGACAAGAGAAAAAAUCACCAAAUUGAAGCUACACCGGCCUUGCAUACGGAAUCAAGGUGGAAUUUGCGAUCAUGAAGAGAAAGAGAGAUGUCUAGGAGGAAAGGACUAGGGAGGGAUACGUAGUAAAGGGAAAUGGUAUUACAAACUGGCCAAAAAACUGGCUGAGGCGAAUAAAGUGAUUGACAUGCAUUUUUUAGAUGAUACCUGAAUAUGUAAUUUGAAAAGUGACUAAUGCAAGUUGUAAAGGCUAUUAACCUUUUUUUGAGAUGUAUUUUCAAUUAAUAUGUAUUUUUGACUUUGAUAUGUAUGUUUGAAACAAAUGUUAAGUAGUGAGAUUCAAAAAGUGAAAUAUCCAUUCUUUUUGUACAAUUGAAGCUACUCUAUCAUAAC